UACGUAGGUGGCAAGCGUUGUCCGGAAUUAUUGGGCGUAAAGCGCGCGCAGGCGGUCCUUUAAGUCUGAUGUGAAAGCCCUCGGCUCAACCGAGGAGGGUCAUUGGAAACUGGAGGACUUGAGUGCAGAAGAGGAAAGUGGAAUUCCAAGUGUAGCGGUGAAAUGCGUAGAGAUUGGGAGGAACACCAGUGGCGAAGGCGGCUCGCUGGACCGGUUCUGACGCUGAUGCGCGAAAGCGUGGGGAGCAAACGGG
rnacentral:rRNA from 1 species